rnacentral:misc_RNA from 1 species
AAGACUAUAGACCUGCGGAGUACCUGCGGAGGGAUCAUUACCGAGUUUACAACUCCCAAACCCCCUGUGAACUUAUACCAUUACUGUUGCUUCGGCGGGUUAUUGCCCCGGGGAAGGACAGGCUGCCGCAAGGUGCCCUGCCGCCCCCCCGGAAACAGGCGCCCGCCGGGGGACUUAAACUCUAUAUUUUUUUCUUGUUUCAGUGUAUACUGUCUGAGUAAAAAAACAUAAUGAAUCAAA